rnacentral:rRNA from 1 species
AUGGCUCAGGAUGAACGCUAGCGACAGGCCUAACACAUGCAAGUCGAGGGGCAGCACAAGGAGCAAUCUGAGGUGGCGACCGGCGCACGGGUGAGUAACACGUAUGCAACCUGGCUGUAAGAGGGGAAUAACCCGGAGAAAUCCGGACUAAUACCGCAUAGUACUUAGAAUCCGCAUGGAUUUUAAGUUAAACAUUUAUGGCUUACAGAUGGGCAUGCGUAUGAUUAGCUGGUUGGAGAGGUAACGGCUCCCCAAGGCAACGAUCAUUAGGGGUUCUGAGAGGAAGGUCCCCCACACUGGUACUGAGACACGGACCAGACUCCUACGGGAGGCAGCAGUGAGGAAUAUUGGUCAAUGGACGCAAGUCUGAACCAGCCAAAAGUCGCGUGAAGGAAGAAUGUCCUAUGGAUUGUAAACUUCUUUUGAAGGGGAAUAAAGUACGGUACGUGUACCGUUUUGUAUGUACCCUUCGAAUAAGGAUCGGCUAACUCCGUGCCAGCAGCGGC